CCCACCACUUCCCAAAAAAUUCUAAUUUCCCUCUCUUUCUCUUGUGUAUCCAACCUAAAACAUGUUCAUUUUUAGUUUUCCCCCUAUUUUCCUUUAACCCUAAAUGGAUUCCCCUCCCAAAAUUCAUACCCAGAUCUCGUACUAAUACCCCUCUUCUGUUUUUGUUUAACAAGCUUCUUGUUUUGGCAUUACGAUAAAGAGAGAAAGAAACCAGACACGAAGCAUCUCCUUUGAAUCCAUCUAAUCUCUCCUCUGAUUAAUAUUCGUGAAAACUAUGACAUUCGUCCUGAAGUUCAUGUCAUCAUGGAAGUUGAAGAAGAAAUCAUGGAAGUUGAAGAAGAAAGCGAUUUCUCGGAUAGGGAUUUGA
rnacentral:lncRNA from 1 species